rnacentral:rRNA from 1 species
GGACGGGGCCCGCACAAGCGGUGGAGUAUGUGGUUUAAUUCGAUGCAACGCGAAGAACCUUACCUGGUCUUGACAUCCCGGAGACCCUUAGGAAACUAGGGGGUGCUUCCAUCUGGAAGAAUCUGGAGACAGGUGCUGCAUGGCUGUCGUCAGCUCGUGUCGUGAGAUGUUGGGUUAAGUCCCGCAACGAGCGCAACCCUUGCCUUUAGUUGCCAGCAGUUCGGCUGGGCACUCUAAAGGGACUGCCGGUGUUAAACCGGAGGAAGGUGGGGAUGACGUCAAGUCCUCAUGGCCUUUAUGACCAGGGCUACACACGUACUACAAUGGCCGAUACAAAGGGCAGCGACACUGCGAGGUGAAGCCAAUCCCGUAAAAUCGGUCUCAGUCCGGAUUGGAGUCUGCAACUCGACUCCAUGAAGUUGGAAUCGCUAGUAAUCGCAGAUCAGCCAAGCUGCGGUGAAUACGUUCCCGGGCCUU